rnacentral:rRNA from 1 species
GUUGAACGCUGGCGGCAUGCUUUACACAUGCAAGUCGAACGGCAGCGCGCUCUUCGGCCUGGCGGCGAGUGUCGCACGGGUGAGUGAUACAUCGGAACAUCCCCCCUCGUUGGGGCUAGCACGUCCAAGGCCCUAUUACUACCGCAUACGAGCUGUGGGUGAACCCGGGGGGUCUUCGGACCUCUCGGUCUUGGAGGGGCCGAUGGCAGAUUAGCUAGUUGGGCGGGUGACGGCCUACCUAGGCGACGAUCGGUAGCUGGUCUCACAGGGAGACCGGCCACACGGGGACGGGGACACGGCCAAGACUCCUACGGGAGGCAGCAGUGGGGAAUUGUGGACAACGGGCGAAAGCCUGAUCCAGCAAUGCCGCGUGUGAGACGAAGGCGUUCGGGGUGGAAAGAACUCUUGGCGGGAACGAAAAGGACUGUGCGAAGACCACGGUUGGAUGACGGUACUCGCAGAAUAAGCACCGGCUAACUACGUG